rnacentral:piRNA from 1 species
UCCGCCAGUGAUGGAGUGCUUACCUUCGU